rnacentral:misc_RNA from 1 species
GCGAUGGUCAUAGGUCCACUUCUUCAGCCAACCCUCAAUACAAGUGCUGCUGCAAUUCUGAAAUUCAUAAAUGGAGCGUCUACGUUCGGAAAUGCAACUUUCGGGUGGGUAGAUGUCAAAGAUGUUGCCAAGGCACAUAUUCUAGCGUACGAGGUUCCUUCAGCAAGUGGAAGAUAUUGUUUGGUUGAAAGAGUUGCCCACCAUUCAGAGAUUGUUAAGAUUAUACAAGAACUCUAUCCUUCUCUUCAGCUCCCUAAAGAGUGUGCCGACAACAAUCCUUUCCCGCCGAAAUACCAGGUAUCGAAAGAACGGGCGAAAGGCUU